AUUGAACGCUGGCGGCAGGCCUAACACAUGCAAGUCGAGCGAGCGGCGGACGGGUGAGUAAUGUCUGGGGAACUGCCUGAUGGAGGGGGAUAACUACUGGAAACGGUGGCUAAUACCGCAUACCAUCAGAUGAACCCAUAUGGGAGUAGCUAGUAGGUGGGGUAAGGGCUCACCUAGGCGACGAUCCCUAGCUGGUCUGAGAGGAUGACCGGCCACCCUGGAACUGAGACACGGGCCAGACUCCUACGGGAGGCAGCAGUGGGGAAUAUUGCGCAAUGGGGGCAAGCCUGAUGCAGCCAUGCCGCGGGAAUGAAGAAGGCCUUAGGGUUGUAAAGUGCUUUCGGGAGGGAGGCGUUACCAACAGAAGAAGCACCGGCUAACUCCGUGCCAGCCGCCGCGGUAAUUC
rnacentral:rRNA from 1 species